rnacentral:rRNA from 1 species
UAGAGUUUGAUCAUGGCUCAGAACGAACGCUGGCGGCAUGCCUAACACAUGCRAAGUCGAACGCCUGUAGCRAUACAGGAGUGGCGCACGGGUGAGUAACGCGUGGGAACCUGCCUAGUGGUAAGGAAUAACCGCGGGAWACUGCGGCUAAUACCUUAUGAGCCCUACGGGGGAAAGAUUUAUCGCCAUUAGAGGGGCCCGCGUCCGAUUAGCUAGUUGGUGAGGUAACGGCUCACCAAGGCGACGAUCGGUAGCUGGUCUGAGAGGAUGAUCAGCCACACUGGGACUGAGACACGGCCCAGACUCCUACGGGAGGCAGCAGUGGGGAGUAUUGGRCMAWKGGGGGCAACCCUGAUCCAGCAAUGCCGCGUGAGUGAUGAAGGCCUUAGGGUUGUAAAGCUCUUUCGACGGGGAAGAUGAUGACGGUACCCGUAGAAGAAGCCCCGGCUAACUUCGUGCCWGCCGCCGCGGKAAUUC